GCAACCAGGUCUGCGCACGGGAGAUCCGGUUCUGUUGGUCUGGUAAGCUAAUUUCCUGUUCAUUCUUGUUUAUCCAAAAAUCCCCCGGUUCUUUCGCUGCCCCUGCCUCCCCUGCAGAUCCAUUCUUCACAGAAGCAGGAUAUAUACGCUCCAAUCAUCCACCGGCGAGGCGGCGGCGUCCUAGCUCCGUCGAUCUCCUUGAUCAGCUGGUGCCACCGGUGGGCCAGAUCGUCGCGACUGCCGCAAUCCUAGUGCUUUUGUGACCUGACCGUCCUAUUCAGGCCAGCAAGCACAGGCCGCCAAGGAGAAGGGGCCCCUUCAGAUUAGGUCAGAGCUCCUCUUCUACGUGCCUUACAACCCACUAAACACAGAUCAAGAAGCUUCCAGCUAGACUUGAGGCGCAGAAGACAAGAUCUUGAUGUCAUGGUGUUCAAAUUAAAUAAAUGGAGACAUCGUAUCUUAUCUCGUAUAUUUUGUUUCUAUUUCAUUCUUUGGAAAAAGAUGGAUUGAUAUUUAUGUCUUGCGAUUCACCUAAUCGAUGUGCCAUGGUAUACUAUAAUUUGUGUUAUAUCCUACUCUUAUUUUGCAUUGUGUUA